rnacentral:lncRNA from 1 species
GGUAGUUCUAUUAAUGGGGUCAUUUAUUCAAAAUAUUACCGAUUAAACUGUUUCAUAAAAUUUAUGAUAUUGAUUUAGAUAACUGUGCAAUUUUAUCAUUCCUACCUAUGCGGAGUUCUGAUAGGAUGGUAGAAGGUGCAUCAUAAAUGUAUAUGACCCUCUUCUUCAUCACAAAAGCCGGUCAAAUCUGAACUCUUCUGUUUGAUGAAAAUAGUGCAAAAUAGGUCUAUAAAUUCAGAACAAGACGAGUUUCAGUGUUACUGGGUUUCUCUCAGUGUACCCAGAAAACAAGGAACACGAUCAAAUAGACAGAGUUCGAUAGUUAGGGUUUCGAAUUGAACUUACUUAGUCAUUGCAUUUCCACUUGCGUUUGAUUUUCCGGAGAAAAUCUUUCCUACGAUCACCCCUCUUUUUGUUUUUACCCAUUUUCCGAUAAAGGUUCGGUUUUUCCGACGAGAACUUUAGGAUGUUCCGGUGAUACGAAGAAAGUUUGAUUUUUUGGGUUUGGGGGAAUUACCAAUUUUGACACAAAGCCAAGGUUUUUAUUCAAGAGUUUUCAUCUCCUAAGAGAUAGGUUUGGUUUUUGAGUAUUGCUUCUGUUGAUGUUGCAUUCGAUGACUAAACAUGACUCCUUGUGAUUGAAAUUUGGGGUUAUUGUGAUUUUGUGAGGAAUUAAAAAAAAAGCAAUAAAUUAUUAUUUUUGAAUUUGGAUAUUGAUUUUUAUGUUCGCAUUCUGGGAGUAUUUUAUGUGCCUGAGUUAUGGUGCUUUGAUUAAGUGGGAUUAAUGAAGUUAUGAAAAAAUCUUUCUUUUUUUGGUUUUUAAUUUCUGACAUUUAAUUUUGGGUACGAGUCAGUUAAUCUAGUCUGAGUUCUUCAGCUUUGCUAAAUUGGGUUUGAUUUUUCAGAAAACUUUUACAAAUUCACUGCAUCUGUUUUAUUAAAGUUUUUUUUGGAUUUUAUCAGUUAUUGAUAUUAUUGGGUUUGUUGGGUUGAAUUUAAUUAUGCUCUGAGAGUUUAAUGGUUUUCAAUUGAUUUUUGUUUUGUUAAUCAAUGCAUCAUUUCCUAAUAUAGUGGUUACUGCAACAGGCAGGAACCACAGGCUAUUUCAUCUCACAGUUUUUUUGGUCUCCAAGUGUGACUUUUCUCUAAUUUCUGUCAUAAAUCCUUGGCUUCUGAAGUGCUUCAUCACUCAUUGCAACUCAUUCAGUCUUGAAAGUUGAAUCAGUAUAGUGGAACAAAUUGGAACUAUGGCUGUCUCUUUUACACGUUUGUCACGGUGGUUAUGGGGUAGCAAGGAGAAAAAGCAUGUUGUUUCGAAGAGUUCUCCGCCGAAUUCAACAUCUUCGGAACGAGCAAGAGAGACUGUGAAGUUUCCUUUGGCGAAGGGAACAAAGAUAACAUCUCCAUCUCACCGAAAGGUUACGAGGAAAUGGCCGAGCCGGGAAGAGAGGAACAUUUUUAGAGAGUCAGAUAUUGUGUUGGUGCCAUCUGAUGGUGGUGGUUGUUUGUCUGGCUAUGAAUCUGAUGGCUCAGAUUGGUCAAUUGGGUGGUUGGAGCCUCAUGGCUCUGAUUUUCAGAGUGAUGAUGAGUCAGAUAAUAGUUUUGCUGUCCUUGUUCCUUGCUAUAGACAUGGUUGCAAGGAGGUGGAGAGUUCAAAUAAUGAGCUUUUGAGUGCCAUCAAGAAUCUCCCUAAUGAAUUAUCUUCUGGUAAGAUUCAGAACCUGCUCUUGAAACAUGUAACUUGUUUUCCCUUUGUUGUGUGUUUUUGUUCUCUUUUAAACUCCUUAGCACUGUUUAACCCUUUUCAUAUUCUUGUUAUUUAAGGACUAACAAUGUGUGAUUAAAUUUUUAUCAAGCAAUGUUCAAAACUCAGUAAAUAAACAAGCAUACUCCAACAACGUAGCUAGAUUAAGCGAUGUCCGAAAUGCUAUCAACAAUCAAGCUUUCUCAAACAAAGUUUCAAAGGUCUCAGAUGUUCGCUCAUCAGUUGAUAACCAAGCCUUAUUAUCAAAUGUUGCUAACACCCUCAAAGCCAUCCGAUCAAGCAAUGUCUUGAACUCAGUCAACAACCAAGCUUCUUCAGUCAAUGUUGCCAACAGUAACAUCCGAUCAAGCGCAGUAAACAACAAAGCCUCAACCGCCUCAACUAAUAACCAAGCAUACUCCAACAAUGUUUCAAAGGUCUCAGAUGUCCGAAGCUCAGUUAAUAACCAAGCUUCAUCAUCAAAUGUUGCUAAUUCCAGCAAUGUUAACCGAUCAAGCAAUAUCCAAAGCUCAGUCAAUAAGCAAGCUUCUUCAUCAAACGUUGCAAACUCAAGCAACGUCAACCGAUCAAGCAAUGUUCAAAACUCAGUAAAUAAACAAGCAUACUCCAACAACGUAGCUAGAUUAAGCGAUGUCCGAAAUGCUAUCAACAAUCAAGCUUUCUCAAACAAAGUUUCAAAGGUAUCAGAUGCUCUAAGCUCAGUUAAUAGCAAAAUCAGCUCAUCAAACAUUGCUAACUCCAGCAAUGUUAACCGAUCAAUUAAUGUCUCAAGCUCAGUCAAUAAGCAAGCUUCUUCAUCAAACGUUGCAAACUCAAGCAACGUCAACCGAUCAAGCAAUGUUCAAAACUCAGU